GACGAACGCUGGCGGCGUGCCUAAUACAUGCAAGUCGAGCGGAGUUAGAGAAGCUUGCUUCUCUAACUUAGCGGCGGACCGGGUGAGGUAACACGUGGGCAAUCUGCCCGUAAGACUGGGAUAACUCCGGAAACCGGGGCUAAUACCGGAUAAUCCUGACUCUCUCCUGAGAGUCAGUUGUAAAGAUGGUUUCGGCUAUCACUUACGGAUGAGCCCGCGGCGCAUUAGCUAGUUGGUAGGGUGAUGGCCUACCAAGGCGACGAUGCGUAGCCGACCUGAGAGGGUGAUCGGCCACACUGGGACUGAGACACGGCCCAGACUCCUACGGGAGGCAGCAGUAGGGAAUCUUCCGCAAUGGACGAAAGUCUGACGGAGCAACGCCGCGUGAGUGAAGAAGGUUUUCGGAUCGUAAAACUCUGUUGUUAGGGAAGAACACGUACGAGAGUAACUGCUCGUACCUUGACGGUACCUAACCAGAAAGCCACGGCUAACUACGUG
rnacentral:rRNA from 1 species